rnacentral:rRNA from 1 species
UACGUAGGGGGCGAGCGUUAUCCGGAUUUACUGGGUGUAAAGGGAGCGUAGACGGCGUCGCAAGUCUGAAGUGAAAGCCCGUGGCUCAACCGCGGAACCGCUUUGGAAACUGCGAGGCUGGAGUGCUGGAGAGGUAAGCGGAAUUCCUGGUGUAGCGGUGAAAUGCGUAGAUAUCAGGAGGAGCACCGGUGGCGAAGGCGGCUUACUGGACAGUGACUGACGUUGAGGCUCGAAAGCGUGGGGAGCGAACAGG